ACAAAACAAACUGACUUUCAAAAGAAGAUCUGUUGCAACUUCUUGUCCAAGAAACUGUACCAUGAAGUUUCAUCUACUUUUCUUUAUUCUGCUUUUUUCGAUCACAAUACUAACAGUCAGAAGUCUUAUUGACAUCAAGUAUAGAAUAGAGAGAUGUGCAAAAAUGUGAGGAAUGUGUAAGGCCUUCUGUGAUGUGGAUGAGUAUGCUUUUGGAUAUUGUAUCAAAUGGAGGAACCAGUGUUGCAUUUAAACUGCCACACAGAAGUACUACUUACUGUCCAGUCUGGAAAAGAAGAGCAUCAAAGCCCAAUUCAAAUGUUCAUCUGUACACACACCAUCAAGCUUGAGAACUGUGAAAUAAACUGUUGUAUAGCCACAUGGAGUAUAUAUUUUUCUGCAUCUUUUGACAAAUUAGCUACAUUGUUUUUUGAGUAUUUUCUAUUGCAAUAAAAGUGCUGUGAACAUUUUUAU